UAUAGGAUUGGUCACAAAGCAAAUGUGGCGGUCCAUGAAGAUGAAUCCUCUGACAAAGUUGAGUUCUCUGUAAAAGAGUUAGAAGAGUUGAGGAAGUUGAAAAGGAAGAUGGAGAAUGCGGGGAAUAAAGGCCAAGGAGACAUCACAUUUGGUGAUUUUGCUCACUUUGCUUAUGCCAAUGAAGGAGAGGCGAACAGGGAGGAGGCUUGGGACCGCAACCAGGCAUAAUGGGCUAUGGUACAUGGAUCGUGAGGAUACAAACACCGCAACGUCUACCGUGUUAGCAGUGAUGAUAGGAGAGAAAGAAGCUACUGUGAUACUUCUACAUUGUAGAAUGGGACAUAUGUCUUUUGAUAAAAUGAGCAAAGUAUAUCCUGAUGUAAUGUGUGGGGUGGAUAAGAGUAAGCUUUUGUGUGACGCUUGUGAGUUUGGCAAACACACAAGGAAGUCUUAUGUAAAUAGGGGGAUUAGGAGUAUAUCUCCCUUUGUGCUUGUUCAUUCAGAUGUGUGGACAUGUCCUGUUAUCUCUGUUAGUGGAAUGAAGUACUUUGUUACA